rnacentral:lncRNA from 1 species
CAUACAAGCCACCGCAACACUACUAAACACUUUUUAAGAACUGUAGAAGAGUUCAUGAAUCCAUUACAAUAUUCAUCAUUCAUUCAUUUUACAUUCGUUCACUCUGCUGCAGUGGCUCAGUGUUUUAUUUAGAAGAGAAAUAAAAGAUAAAUCAGAAGAGACGAGGAGACCGUGUGUAAUGUUCUGCAAAAUGGUAGUCAUUAUAGACAUCGAUAAGUUUUUGACUCGUGACGAUUUCAAGCUACUUGCAGAAGUGGAAUGGCCG